GACGUAGGGUGCGAGCGUUGUCCGGAUUUAUUGGGCGUAAAGAGCUCGUAGGCGGUUUGUUGCGUCGGCUGUGAAAUCCCGAGGCUCAACCUCGGGUCUGCAGUCGAUACGAGCAAACUAGAGUGUUGCAGGGGAGACUGGAAUUCCUGGUGUAGCGGUGAAAUGCGCAGAUAUCAGGAGGAACACCGAUGGCGAAGGCAGGUCUCUGGGCUGACACUGACGCUCAUGCACGAAAGCGUGGGGAGCAAACAGG
rnacentral:rRNA from 1 species